rnacentral:rRNA from 1 species
AAUGGACGGAAGUCUGAACCAGCCAUCCCGCGUGCAGGAUGAAGGUCCUAUGGAUUGUAAACUGCUUUUAGCAGAGAAGAAAAGCAUUCAUUUAUGAGUGUCUGACGGUAUCUGCAGAAUAAGCACCGGCUAACUCCGUGCCAGCAGCCGCGGUAAUACGGAGGGUGCAAGCGUUAUCCGGAAUCACUGGGUUUAAAGGGUGCGUAGGCGGAAUAUUAAGUCAGUGGUGAAAGCCUGUCGCUUAACGAUAGAACUGCCAUUGAUACUGAUAUUCUUGAAUUGGGUUGAGGUUAGCGGAAUGUGACAUGUAGCGGUGAAAUGCAUAGAUAUGUCAUGGAACACCAAUUGCGAAGGCAGCUAGCUGGGCCUUGAUUGACGCUGAGGCACGAAAGCGUGGGUAGCGAA